rnacentral:tRNA from 4 species
GGCCCUAUCGUCUAGCGGUUAGGACAAGGGGCUUUCAAUCCCUAAACCGGGGUUCGACUCCCCGUUGGGCCG